UACACUCCUGCGGGAGGCAGCAGUGGGGAAUAUUGCACAAUGGGCGCAAGCCUGAUGCAGCCAUGCCGCGUGUAUGAAGAAGGCCUUCGGGUUGUAAAGUACUUUCAGCGGGGAGGAAGGUGUUGAGGUUAAUAACCUCAGCAAUUGACGUUACCCGCAGAAGAAGCACCGGCUAACUCCGUGCCAGCAGCCGCGGUAAUACGGAGGGUGCAAGCGUUAAUCGGAAUUACUGGGCGUAAAGCGCACGCAGGCGGUCUGUCAAGUCGGAUGUGAAAUCCCCGGGCUCAACCUGGGAACUGCAUUCGAAACUGGCAGGCUAGAGUCUUGUAGAGGGGGGUAGAAUUCCAGGUGUAGCGGUGAAAUGCGUAGAGAUCUGGAGGAAUACCGGUGGCGAAGGCGGCCCCCUGGACAAAGACUGACGCUCAGGUGCGAAAGCGUGGGGAGCAAACAGGAUUAGAAACCCUGGUAGUCCCAUG
rnacentral:rRNA from 1 species